rnacentral:rRNA from 1 species
UUAGAUACCCUAUUAUUAAAAAUGUAAAUUUUUUUACUUAAUUAGUAUUAGUUAUGUUCUUGAAAAUUAAAAAAUUUGGCGGUAUUUUAGUCUUUUCAGAGGAACCUGUUCUAUAAUCGAUAGUCCACGAUUAGAUGCACUUUAUUUAUUAGUUUAUAUAUCGUCGUAGUUUAAAUAUUUUAAUAGAAUUAUAAAUAUUUAAAAUUUUUUAUUAAAAAAUAAAUCAGAUCAAGGUGUAGUUUAUAAUAAAGAAGAAAUGGGUUACAAUAAAUUUAUUUGAAAAUAAUUUUUGUUAAAAAAAUUUGAAUUUGGAUUUGAGAGUAAUUUUUUAGAUUUUUUUAAGAUGAUUAAAGCUCUAAAAUAUGUACACAUCGCCCG